rnacentral:rRNA from 1 species
GAUGAACGCUGGCGGCGUGCCUAAUACAUGCAAGUCGAGCGAACAGACGAGGAGCUUGCUCCUCUGACGUUAGCGGCGGACGGGUGAGUAACACGUGGAUAACCUACCUAUAAGACUGGGAUAACUUCGGGAAACCGGAGCUAAUACCGGAUAAUAUAUUGAACCGCAUGGUUCAAUAGUUAAAGACGGUUUUGCUGUCACUUAUAGAUGGAUCCGCGCCGCAUUAGCUAGUUGGUAAGGUAACGGCUUACCAAGGCAACGAUGCGUAGCCGACCUGAGAGGGUGAUCGGCCACACUGGAACUGAGACACGGUCCAGACUCCUACGGGAGGCAGCAGUAGGGAAUCUUCCGCAAUGGGCGAAAGCCUGACGGAGCAACGCCGCGUGAGUGAUGAAGGUCUUCGGAUCGUAAAACUCUGUUAUUAGGGAAGAACAAAUGUGUAAGUAUCUAUGCACGUCUUGACGGUACCUAAUCAGAAAGCCACGGCUAACUACGUG